UACAGAGGGGGCAAGCGUUAUUCGGAAUUAUUGGGCGUAAAGGGCGCGUAGGCGGCUUUGCAAGUGACGGGUGAAAUCCCUCGGCUUAACCGAGGAACUGCCUGUCAGACUGUGAGGCUUGAGACCGGGAGAGGUGAGUGGAAUUCCCAGUGUAGCGGUGAAAUGCGUAGAUAUUGGGAGGAACACCAGUGGCGAAGGCGGCUCACUGGACCGGAACUGACGCUGAGGCGCGAAAGCGUGGGGAGCAAACAGG
rnacentral:rRNA from 1 species